rnacentral:rRNA from 1 species
CCUACGGGAGGCAGCAGUGGGGAAUAUUGGACAAUGGGGGAACCCUGAUCCAGCCAUGCCGCGUGUGUGAAGAAGGCCCUCGGGUUGUAAAGCACUUUCAGUGAGGAAGAACGCCUGGUGGUUAAUACCCAUCAGGAAAGACAUCACUCACAGAAGAAGCACCGGCUAACUCCGUGCCAGCAGCCGCGGUAAUACGGAGGGUGCGAGCGUUAAUCGGAAUUACUGGGCGUAAAGCGCGCGUAGGUGGCUUGAUAAGCCGGUUGUGAAAGCCCCGGGCUCAACCUGGGAACGGCAUCCGGAACUGUCAAGCUAGAGUGCAGGAGAGGAAGGUAGAAUUCCCGGUGUAGCGGUGAAAUGCGUAGAGAUCGGGAGGAAUACCAGUGGCGAAGGCGGCCUUCUGGACUGACACUGACACUGAGGUGCGAAAGCGUGGGUAGCAAACAGGAUUAGAUACCCCGGUAGUC